rnacentral:rRNA from 1 species
AGCAGCCGCCGCGGGAAUACGGAGGGUGCAAGCGUUAAUCGGAAUUACUGGGCGUAAAGCGCACGCAGGCGGUCUGUCAAGUCAGAUGUGAAAUCCCCGGGCUUAACCUGGGAACUGCAUUUGAAACUGGCAGGCUAGAGUCUUGUAGAGGGGGGUAGAAUUCCAGGUGUAGCGGUGAAAUGCGUAGAGAUCUGGAGGAAUACCGGUGGCGAAGGCGGCCCCCUGGACAAAGACUGACGCUCAGGUGCGAAAGCGUGGGGAGCAAACAGGAUUAGAUACCCGUGUAGUCCCUGUCUCUUAUAC